AAUGACUUGUUUUAUCAUGGAUAAAAAUAAUCGCGUAAUAAUUUUUGUCGAAUAUGAAUUGUUAUCCGCGUCAUAUGUCACUAACUUAUCAUUUAAGCAAUCUUCUUUCUCACAACUAAAUCUUUUCUUUAAAGUUUUUACAGAUUUUAUAAAUACAUACCUAUCUCUUUGCAAAACUUUCGUACGUGUAUUAUAUUUUUAAAAGUAGAACAAAAAGUCGUCGACAUGUUUUAUCAUGAUUUAUUAUCUUUCUCAAAAUGCAACUGUUCUUUAUUUUUUCUUUAAAAUUUCGUAUAUUAAAAUAAUAUUUCUAAUAUUGUUAAUUAAAUUACAGGUUAAAUUGAAAAUAAGAUAUUGAGAAGAAGAAAAAUAAGCUAGAAGAUAAUCAAUUUCAACUUUGAAGAUUUUCUAUUGACUCAGGAGGAAGUGGAGACACGGUCAAGUCUCAGCGCUACUUAAACUCGUAAUCCGACCCAUCCUCCACGUACAUAGAUCUACUUGUCGUGUAUAAAGCUAAAAUACCUAUGUGCUCGUUAUGUAUACACAUAAUCCAGCCAACGUAACUCGUGGUUUAUGUUGUACCUCGAGUGCAUCGUUACCUACUCCGCUUCAGCGAUAAUUUAAUUGUCCGUUGAUGCCAGCGGCGACGUCAUUUUCACAAAGUUUGACCUAACUUUUGGACCUGGUGAUUUGUGGAAUUUAAUUCAACUAUCGAAUAAUGCUCCGUAAUGAGUCAUACCAAACAUUGGCGUGAAAUUUAUUACUGGGACGUUGAACGUGCAUAAAUCAACUGAAGAAAUGUAAACACGCGGUAUGCUAAGUAUUAGCACUCUUUUCAUCGGUUCUCGACCUUUGGGCAAAGAUACGAGGUGGAAGCUCAAGAACAACAAAAAAAAGAGGGAAUAAAAACUCGAUCGUUUAACAAAUUCGAGGUACAAAACAAUCGGAAUACAAAGGUAAUUCAUUUAUAUAAAUACGAAAUAUAUUGUUAUUAUUUAUUUAAUUAACAUCAACCAAGCUCGUCCACGAUGUUUCUCCGCAAUUAGCUUAUAUAACUGGAAGAUUCGUUAGUGGCAAAUCGAAUCGUCCGGAAAGAAUUGAGAUUCAACGAGGGGCAAUUGUGAGAUGCACUUGAACCGGUGGCUCUGCGAGUAAAUCCGUUAACCCGCGGCGAAAAGAGCCUUGAGCCAAGUAAAAUGGCCGGGUUUUAACCCCUUGCACUUCAACUGCCAGUCGAGUUAGCUAUAAAAUGUUGAACGUUUCAAUGGAACUAAAUUUGAUAUAAUAUUUUUCUUCUUCAUCUCGAUACGGAAGAGAAUAGAUUUUAUUACUUAUCUAUUUGUAUAAAUA